AUAAGCUCUGGUCUAGUAGUUAUUUAAAAUCGAUGCGGAAGAUAAAGGUAUUUCUUUUCCUGUGGGUGAAAGGUCAACAUUGAAGGGUUAAAGAACGCUAGGGUUCAAGGCCCAUAGGAGAACGCAGCGAACGGCGGGACUAUCGCGUUUGGCAACAAGGCUCAGAUCGCACACAUUUGCAACGAUUAAAGGACAAUCACCCAACACACUUCCAGGCUGUGUAAGAGCAAUUUGACCACGGAGAGUGAUGGAGUGCUGCAUCAGAUGACCUGGCCUCCACAAUCACACAAUUGAAAAGGUUUGGGAUGAGUUGGACUGCAGAGUGAAGGAAAAGCAGCCAACAAGUGCUCAGCAUACGUGGGAACUUCUUCAAGACUAUUGCAAAAGCAUUCAUUAUGAAGCUGGUUGAGAGAAUGUGAAGAGUGUGCAUAGCUGUCAUCAAGGUUAAGAGCAUCUACUUUGAAGAAUCAAAAAUAUAUUUUGAUUUCUUUAACACUUUUUUGGUUACUACAUGAUUCCAUGUGUGUAAUUUCAUAGUUUGUUUUGAUGUCUUCACUAUUAUUCUACAAUGUAGAAAAUAAUAAAUAUAAAGAAACCCUUGAAUGUGUAGGUGUGUCCAAAUUUGACUGGUACUGUACAUAUACACUACCGUUCAAAAGUUUGGGGUCACUUAGAAAUGUCCUUGUUUAUUUUUAAAAAGCACAUUUGUCCAUUGGAAUAACAUAACAUUUAUCAGAAACAGUGUAGACAUUGUUAAUGUUGUAAAUGACUAUUGUAGUUGGAAACGGCAGAUUUUUUAUGGAAUAUCUACAUAUGCAUACAGAAGCCCAUUAUCAGCAACCAUCACUCCUGUGUUCCAUUGGCACGUUGUGUUAGCUAGAAACCCCUUUUGCAAUUGUUAUCACAGCUGAAAACUUUUGUUCUGAUUAAAAAAGCAAUAAAAUUGGCCUUCUUUAAACUA